UUUAUUAUUUUUCUGGGACGCCUUCAUACGACGUUCGUAGGAAGGCGUCCCAGAAAAAAAAUUAACAUAGCCUUGCGGUUAUAGGAAGGUGUUCCAGAAUAAAAUUAAAAAGCCUUGCCAGACGUAAUAAUUAUUUGGACUAUUCAUAUAUAUAUAUAUAUCAUUAAAAAUACACCAAAAAAGUCAUUAGUUGAGAAAAAUAAAUAUAUACAAAAUGUACAUGAACACCCAAAAAUGUGAAAGUUAGUACAUUUAUGUAUUUAACUCUUUUUGCUUAAAUACUGAAAAAAAUUCUGGCAACCCCUUUCUUAUUUUUACCCUAUUGCGUAAAAUACUGUUAAAAAUAUAUAUUUAACAUGGGUGACGAAUUGACUAUAUCAGGUGUCGAUUUUAACCAGGUGCUGAUUUGUCCAGGUGCCAAUUUAACUAGGUGCCAGUUUGACUAGAAUUCUUUGACAAAUGUUUGAAACUAUCUGAGUUUCAUUAGACCUUUGAUAGCAGUAACAAAAAGAUUAUUUACUUAAUAUUUUGUGGGAGAAGGGGGUUCAGACUGUGUGGUAUCAGGUCUGUUUGUGCCCAAUACAUUUUCGCACCCUACACGUUCGCACAUUCACACUCUACUCAUUCGCGCCCAAUUUUAAUUCAAAUUCAAGUUGAAUAAUUGGAAAAUCAUGGUUGUUGUUUUAAAUUGCUUUGGUGUAAAUACUGAAUGUAUUUAUAGCUUGGUAUGAGUAAAACAUUGAAGAUUUAAAAGGAAAAAACACAAAAGAUAAUUGUUUUUAACAGCUUGGUCCCAUUGAUCUGAAACAACGAAACAAUAAAACAUAGCAAUCCACUAAUAUAACCAAAACAUGAUAAAAUUUAUUCAACACGCAGAAACAAACAUAGUCAGAAUCUCACUUCAUUUUGAAACAAGUCAAUGAAACAAGUUAUAGCAAUACACUAACCAAAACAUGAUUAGAGUUAUUCAACACAAAAUAAAACGUUGACAAAAUACCACUUUAUUUAGAAAGGAUUAUUAUUAUUUUUAGCAAUACCUUAUCCAAAACAUGAUUAAGAUUUAUUCAACACAAAAAAAAAUUGCUGUCUCACUUUAUUUUGAGACAAUGACAACAAUUAUACUUAUAAGAAAACACUUGCUUACAGAGUUAUUAAACACAAAACCAAUUAAGAUUGGGUGCGAACAAUGUAGGGUGUGAAAGUGACAGGGGUGAAAAUGAGUGGGCGCAA
rnacentral:lncRNA from 1 species